CAGAAAUUCAAGCGGCCAGUGUAGACAGCUGGCAAGUUUUUCCGGAAAAGCGGCUGAUUUUCCGGAAUAACUUGCCAGUAUAGACACAGCCCCCUAGAUUGACGAUAGCUGCUGCAUUUGAAAAUUAUUCAAAAUAAAGUUAUCAAUCCCCAUUAAAGAUUGGGGAAAUUUUAGGGCUUUUCUCUGCAUGUGCUGUCAUAUGAGCAAUGCUGAGAUAUCAUUUAAUCAUGAUGUACAUUAUCUUCUGGCAGGGAGCUGACUGGAAUAUCUACUUGACAAGACCAUCCAAGAGUUAGAGGAGCCACAUGCCCUCUUGACUCAUGAGCUGCUAAGUAAAAGUCCCUCCUGGUUACUUAAGUAUUAAUGAAAGGAUCAAUUUCAUUGCAAAAGGUCCUGAUAGUGAAAGAAAGGGCACCAGCACAAGUAAAGUCCAUCUCUAGAGCCUAAUUAUUUUGUUAGUUGCUUGCAGGAAACUCUCACUGCUGUCAGUAGCACUUAGCACACUUAGCACUUGAUCCUGAUAUGUUAUCUUAAUUUCAGGGGCUAGCAGAUUCUAAAAGAUGACACUGCCUAGGUCAGCUUUUGCAGAUUUUGCCUACAUGAUUUUUAUCAACCUUGGAAUGAACAGAAGCUACUGAUCAUUUAUUGAAGAUCUGUACACCAUUUUGCCUAAAGCAAGCUGCUGUGAGCUUGAGCCUUCAGGGGCAACAAAAUUUAAGUUGUUCCUAACCUUUUGCCUCAAGCCUCCACACAAUUCACAAACUCUUGCACUAUAGUGAUGGACUGGUUUGAUUAUUUUGUAACAUGUUCCUAUCUUUUUGUUUGUUAAAUAAGAAAGUCUACACACUGGCUAACUCUGUAGAUAUGGUUUAAUUUUGUUGUGACAGUUUGUUUUUUAGCUAUAGAGUGGGAAAUAAUUUUUAUUUGAACUGUGGGAAACUGUUAAUAAAUGUAAACACAAAACACACUUUGAUUGUGAAAUUAAAGCUAUGUCCUGUAUCCUCCAUAUCCUGCUGCUCUGAUUGCACUGUGCUAUCAGCCUAGGGCUCCUGGUAGGACAACUUUUUUGAAGGGACAUAUCAUAGCAAUAAUAGGUGAUACAAAGAAAAGGAAUAUUUCAGCAGAAUAACCAAUCAGACUGUAAAACUGUAUCCAAGGGAAAUGCUAAGAGGUGUAUCACUUGAGCCUUUCAGUGGAUCCACAAAACAGUAAUGACAUAAUCCUGCAUUUGUGGGUGCAGUCAGGACCAGGUGACUUGCCCUAAGUAAGUUUUUCCAUCUUUAAUUCAGGAGGUGUGAAUGAGUUACUAUUAGAAAGCCAUUUCCCACACAGAGAACUCCAUGAAUAUCUAGUCCUAUAGCAAUGGUAUGAAGGCAACAUUUGCCUACCCUGUUCCCAGGACAGUAAGUGACAUGAGGAAGAUUAGCGGGAAGGCAUGGAGGAGAGCCUGUAACUGAGGUUAAAGUCCUGUUUACAAAGACCUUUGCCAUAAUUCUUAGGAUUUUUCCACACUUGGAUAAACCGCAUAUCAGCUGAGUGUGCUGCAGCUUCUGCCAAGGUCACUGGGACUGAUGCCUCUGUUUGUGUCUCACUCCUGGCACUUCCUGCAUCAUACUUAAGACCUUGGUUGCUUUAUAAAUCAAAGAAAACUAGUCCUCCCUCAUAGGAGCUCUUUAGACACAAGGCUGAUUGCUAUCCUCCUUCCCAGUUCCCCCAAGUAUGCUGUGGUAAAACAGAGGGGGAUGAAAUAAAUGAUUUUCUACUGUUGUGCAACUGAAUUACAUGUGGAAGAAUUCCAUGCAGCUGCUGUUCAAGUAUCAAAAAAACUAUUAAGUGAAAGCCCAUUAGCACGGUGGUGAGCUAUGGCCCAUGGCCUGCAUGUGACUCAUUGGGGUUCCAUGUAUGGCCCAGGCACCCCCACUCAGCCCCCUUCCUCCACAGUUCCUGCAUACUGAGGGCCCCACACUUCCCUAUUUCUUCCCCUCCCUCCCAGCACUUCCAGAGCCCAAUGAAUCAGCUGAUUUAUGGAGUUCAAGCUCUGCAAGGGAGGAGGAGGAGUGGACACUGGUGCACUUGGGAGAGGAUGCGAAGAACAGGCCAAUCCUGUGACCAGGUCAGAGACCUAGUGCCCUGGAAAAUGUGACUGGAGAAACUGAAGAAUCUGCAUGUCAUUCAGGGAUGCAUUCUGGGAAUUAAGGACAAGGCGAAUUCAGAGCAAAGAAUACAACAAACUUAAGGAUUCAUAUACCAGUAUGUUUGGAGUGGGACCUGGGCUGCGCUGUGAAGACUGAUGCUUGGAUGCUACAGUGAUAGGUACCCUAACAAAUAGAUAUACCCAGAUUCAAUUUCUGGGCUCUUAUCUCUAUCUCAUAUAUGUAUAGAAUGGUUUUGGAGAUUGAAUGCUAAUUUGCAAAGGGAAAAGCAAAUUAGAGUAACAGAGAUUUUAAAUGUCUUAAUUUUGUGCGUUAACCUGGAAGACCAAGGAAUUGCUGCUGAGAAUUGGGUUUUAACCCCUCAAUGUGGUUUCAGAAAGUGUAAAUCAGUUGCAGAAUUUGGUCCUCUGUGAGAAUUUGAAUGUCAACUGAGCCCUAAUUUUCAAAAGUGGGCAUUACAUUUGGGUUACACUAAUAGCCAUAAUGAGAAGGUUAUCCCUAGAUAAAAUGGUUGAGAUCCUUUGGUCAUGGUGCCUGGUAGGGAUUAUAUACAUACUGGUUUAUUUCUGAACCAUCUGUGUAAGACCUCCUUCUGCCACCUUGUGGCCAUAUUCUAAAACUGACAUUCCCUGCAUGUGGAAAAGAAAUAGUACUGUAUUGUUAUGAAGCCACAGUGAAGGGUUGUAACUAGCUUUCUAUUAGAAGGGAAAUCGGUUGUGUAUUAUUUUCUGCCUAAAGAAGAAUUUCAUUUUCAUUGAAAGCUGGGGGCAAUUGAACAAGACACUCCCAAAAUAUGCCAGUUUGAUAAAUCAGUAGUAAAUCACAUCUGAUUCGACUUUGGCCAGUGUGAGUCCUGAAGCCACAUCUUCUUAUACCUAGCUGUGUCCUGUAGCCACAAGAUCAUAUUUUCCCUGCAAGGUCCCCCGACUUUAUAACAUUUGCAGUGGUCUUUGCAUUCUUUACUCUGAAUGUCUCUGCUCCUUGAUAGUCUCUGUUGACAUCAAAAUGGCAUGUUGGGUGUGUCUAUAAAGACAUAUGUAUAGUUUCUUUAAAUGGGUAACAUAAAGCUAGGCAGGAGGGUGCUGGGGAAGGUUCUAGGCAGUGGCUUUGCAAUUACAUGGAAAGAAUGAGUACAGUAACUUGAAAAGUAAUGCUAGUGUGCUUAUUUUAAUAAGGUUCUUAUUUAGUAUUGAAGGAAGUGACUAAUUAUGUGAUUCUACACAAUUGUCACAGGACUGUGUCCUCCAGUCUCACUUUCAUAGUCAGGUGGCUCAGCAUUUGGCAAAGGGACCGUGGUUUGCCCACCCAUGGCUUCAUAUAGUUGGUUGAAUGAUACAGGCAGUGACAUUAUCAUUUUAGUUUUAAAGGCAACCUCCGCUGCUUCACAUCUAAGAUGUUAACCUUCAGCUUCCUUGGCAGCCAGCCAGAUAAAACACUAAAGGCAGCCAACCCCGGCUCAGUGUACACUCGCCCAUUUAGAUGCUGCCUGGGAUAUCCAUUUCAGUGAUGAAAAUAAAUGCAGUUCAGGUUAAGUCACUUCUAAUGCCUCAGAGUUAUUUUCCACUGAACAGAACAUCAAGUCAAUGCAGGUGGCGUGUUUCUUGAAGCCAGACAAAUGCCAACACAUUUAUUGCAAAGCAGGAAAUGAUGGUAAGAUUUUCUCCUCCCAUCAGAGAACAGUUCUGUUCAGGAUGCCCAGCAUGCAGCCUGGUGGUGGUGAAUAUAAAAAAGUGACUUCAAAUGGUCUUUGCACUACCAGUAUUUUAGAACAGUCUAUACUUACCCAGACCUUUCUGUAACUUAGGCUGCUCAGUGUAAACAGCAAAGUAAGGCAGCCACAUAACAGUGUUUACCACACUGGGUCACCUUCAGUCCAUGCAUUAUGCUUUUCCGGAACAAUGGGUAAACAUCUUGCCCAUAAAAAAACAAGUGGGGGAAUAAAGAAGAAAGAGCCUGAAGCAUGGGCCUGGUGUUUAACCAAAGUUGUAUUAUAAGUAAUAAACAGGCCAUGUCAAAAGCAAGUGUUUGCCUUCAAGUCAGUGUAUCUCAGCACUAGAACUGCUAGCACUGAUAAAAGCACAUAUAACAUGUAAAUAUGUUCCAUUAAAACAGUACAAAAACACCCACCUAAGUACAUAAUAAAAUAGUUUAAAACAACAAAAGUACAAGCAUAACAAUGGGUAGUAAAUGCUUUAGAAAAAGUAUAAGGGGAGAAACCAAAUGUGUCAUUAAUGUGUAAGGUGAUAUGUAUGGUGCAUAUCAUACAUUUUUCAUUUCUGUCUAUAAAUAUUGGGGUACCUCAACUUAAUUCUUU